rnacentral:rRNA from 1 species
UGGGGAAUUUUGGACAAUGGGGGCAACCCUGAUCCAGCCAUGCCGCGUGUGGGAAGAAGGCCUUCGGGUUGUAAACCACUUUUGUCAGGGAAGAAAUCGAAUCCCCAAUAACCACUGGGUUUGGAUGACGUACCUGAGA